GACGAACGCUGGCGGCGUGCCUAAUACAUGCAAGUCGAACGCUUUUUCUUUCACCGGAGCUUGCUCCACCGAAAGAAAAAGAGUGGCGAACGGGUGAGUAACACGUGGGUAACCUGCCCAUCAGAAGGGGAUAACACUUGGAAACAGGUGCUAAUACCGUAUAACACUAUUUUCCGCAUGGAAGAAAGUUGAAAGGCGCUUUUGCGUCACUGAUGGAUGGACCCGCGGUGCAUUAGCUAGUUGGUGAGGUAACGGCUCACCAAGGCAACGAUGCAUAGCCGACCUGAGAGGGUGAUCGGCCACACUGGGACUGAGACACGGCCCAGACUCCUACGGGAGGCAGCAGUAGGGAAUCUUCGGCAAUGGACGAAAGUCUGACCGAGCAACGCCGCGUGAGUGAAGAAGGUUUUCGGAUCGUAAAACUCUGUUGUUAGAGAAGAACAAGGAUGAGAGU
rnacentral:rRNA from 1 species